rnacentral:lncRNA from 1 species
UUGAUUUCCAGGCAGAGUGGAGAUUUCUGUGCUCAAGUCCACAGCUUGGUUUCUUUUCAUCUCUCUCCCUCCCACCCCUACACUGCACAUGGUGCAGUCAAAUGAAGAAUAUUCCUCUUCUAUCUCUGGACCCUUGUCCCUCGGUGUUGAGAGCCCAAGCUGUUAAUCCUUGAACUCAGAUAACUGAUUUUUAAAAAGCAAAAACCAGAACGAAAGCCAUAAACAAUAAUUAUGUAGAAACAUACGUGUAUGUGUGUGCACACAUAUGAAGAUGAAAUAUCGGAAGGAAAAAAACCUUAAAGUUGCCCAAACUAUUUAAGGCACCCCACCCUCGAGGCAAAAGUUCUUUAUGUGGCACAGACAACUCUUUGGCUAAGAGUUCUAUAAAUUGAACAUUUUAUGAGUGAGAGAACAGACCCUGGGCACUGUCACCCCCCUGCACCCCCCAGUGGGAGGUAAAAACUCUUUGGGGCCUGCUGAGAAGCAGACUGUGGCAUUCUUAGAGGGAUGGAAAUAAGGUUUUAUAAUCUCCUGCUAUUACCUCCUAAAUAAAGAUCAUUGUCUCCAAGUUUUAACACCAUAAUUUGUUCCCCCUGACCCAAGCACAUUCUGAGAUCCUUACUUGGAGCUGGUAGAAAAUUUUCACUCACCUGUGUGUAGUCUUCAGACACCAAAAUAAAUCCAUUAUUGUCUAUGAGGUAACAAUUCACAGUCUAGAAAAUUAAAAAAAAAACAAAAACAAAAAAACAGCUUCAACUUCGGGCCAUCACACUGCUUUUAAACAGAAUGACACACUUCCAACCUUAGACAAACUUAUUUUUUUGGAAAGCAAUUGUUUUCAGGCAAUUGCAAAAGCCUGCUGGUUCUAGGCUUUAAGGCCACGGUUAAGAUAACCCCGGUGUUUACUUUGCAAAACUAACAAAAAUAAAAGACUGAACGAGUCUUGAAUGAUCCAGAUUGGAAUAAAAUUGCAUUAAAAAAUGAUGAAUUACAGUUUGUCUUCCUUUUUUUUUUUCUUUAUAUGACCUGAAUAAUAUUUCCCAGGAACAAAGUGCUCAGAAGCCCCCAAGCCUGUAUUGGCGGUUGAAGUGCAGGCUGUUUUGAAAGCAAAACGCCAGCACAAUGUCAUUACUCUAAUGAUGUAUUAAUGAAAACACCGUGUCAGCUCAGAGGACCAUCAGGGGACCAGGUGGAUGAUACUGAAGAGACCCCCAACCCAAAGGAAAAUCAUCUGCAUGCACCAGUUGACUGACUUUGGGUAAGUGGGGUGCAUCUACCUGGGUAAAGGAUGGGACUGGGUUAGAGGCCCAACUUAGGGGAGUUAAGAGUCUCUCCUAAGGCAGAGUGGGCUAAAGGCUCCUAUUAAUGAAAGGCAAAGAUGCUUGAUCAAACUUGGGUUCAAGGCUCAACUCAGGAAGGUUAGAGUCAUUCCUAGGAUUUAGGGGGUUAGAGGCUCCUCUCAGUAAAGUCCCUCUCAGCUAAGAACGGGUUUGGCACUAUGGAAUGUUAACUACUAUUCUCUUUGGAUUAAUCUGUCUUGCACUUGUUGCUAAGGGCUAUGGGUGACAGGAUAAGGCAUGUACAGGACCACAGGACAUGGGGAGCUUUUUCCUCCCCCGAAAAAGGGAAACUUGAGAGCUGAUGGGACUGCCAGAAAACAUCCCUUCACUACCGACAAGUGGCCACCUGAACUUUUUAGUUUCACUGCAAUAGGAAUCAAACUUGACUUAGAGAGCCAAGAAGAGCCCCUUGAAAAAAACUAGCCUCAUACCUUGUCUACACAGUCCCUGUACAGGGUUCCUGACCUGUGGUAAGUAAAGAAUGUCACCUUCUGAAAGGCCCAGGAGCCCCAAGUUAUUUUGGGACCUCAAGAGGAGAAGAAUUUACUCAACUCAUAGAUAUCUGGGGUACAAACCCAUGGCUAGGCUUGGCUUUAAAAAAAAGUCUUAUCUGAGAUUCCCUCUAUGGAACAAAAUUUCAUCAAAGACAAAUUUAAAAGCCUAUGUGAAAAAUAAUUAUUCUUGCUGCACUGUAUACAAAUAAUCAGGCCAAGUAUAAUAAAGCAAAUUAGUCUUACUAUGAUUUGUCUCCAGCAAAAAUGGGAAACUAGAGAACAAUUAUGUUUCAAGAACUGUGGUAUAACCUGUUAUUAAGUUCUAGUCUCAUCAGUUGAUUUUAAGGUUUUUUUCUGUAAUUUAGGCCAACCCUGUUUAUUCCUGUGAACCAACCAGUGAUCUCUUGACUGCUGCUCAGAAGAAACAACAGGGAUGGGUAAUGUAAAAAUCUGGAUCAAUAUUCUAAUUCUGGGCAUGUAUUGGAAUCAGCUAGCAACCUCAUAUCAGCUUGGUUCCAAUAGUUGCCCAGUUCAUGGAACGCCUUAUUUAGUUUACUUGGGAUAAUUUUACUUAUUUUGUUUUACUGUUUUGGAAUACGUUGCUAUUGUACUCUUUGUGUAGAAAUGCUGGACAAGCUUACUAAAUGUUUUCUUACACUGAGCACUUUUUAAUCUUCUAGAUAUCAUCUUUUGUCAGAACUCGGAGUCAUGAACGGCCCUUGCCAUACCAAUGCUUUCUGACUGAGCUCCUCUCUAUCUACCCUGAAUGCAAGAGACCCAAUAGUUAGGCAGGAAUGGCAUUGCCCCUAUCAGCUUGAAGAAGUUACAGAAGAUGCAUCUUUAUCCCUCUGCAACCCUUAGGAUUAAGGGUUUUCUUAUAAAAGGGACGGGGGAAAUGUUAGAGGUGUUUGAACCAGAGCAACUCCAUCUUGAAUAGGGGCUGGGUAAAAUGAGGCUGAGACCUAUUGGGCUGCAUUCCCAGACGGUUAAGGCAUUCUGUGUCACAGGAUGAGUUAGGAGGUCAGCACAAGAUACAGGUCAUAAAGAUCUUGCUGAUAAACAGGAUGCAGUAAAGAAGCUGGCUAAAACCACCAAAACCAAGAUGGUGAUGAGAGUAAACUCUGAUCAUCCUCACUGCUACACUCCCACCAGUGCCAUGACAGUUUACAAAUGCCAUGGCAACGUCAGGAAGAUACCCUAUACGGUCUAAAAAGGAGAGGCAUGAAUAAUCCACCCAUUGUUUAGCAUAUCAUCAAGAAAUAACGAUAAAAAUGGGUAACCAGCAGCCCUCGAGGCUGCUCUGCCUAUGGAACACCCAU